CUAGCUUGCUAGUCGGCGUCGAGUGGCGGACGGGUGAGUAACGCGUAGGAAUCUGCCUGAUAGUGGGGGAUAGCCCGGAGAAAUUCGGAUUAAUACCGCAUAAUCUAUUCGUAGUAAAGUGGGGGACUUUCGAGCCUCACGCUAUCAGAUGAGCCUGCGUAAGAUUAGCUUGUUGGUAGGGUAAAAGCCUACCAAGGCGACGAUCUUUAGCUGGUCUGAGAGGAUGAUCAGCCACAUCGGGACUGAGACACGGCCCGAACUCCUACGGGAGGCAGCAGUGGGGAAUAUUGGACAAUGGGGGCAACCCUGAUCCAGCAAUACCGCGUGUGUGAAGAAGGCCUGAGGGUUGUAAAGCACUUUCAAUUGUGAAGAAAAGUUAACGGUUAAUAACCGUUAGCCUUGACGUUAACUUUAGAAGAAGCACCGGCUAACUCCGUG
rnacentral:rRNA from 1 species